AUUUUAUUUCAGCUCGUGAAACAUGGGACCAACACUUUUCAUGUUGCGUUUAUAUUUUUGUUCAGUAUAGUUUCUUCUCACACAUACAGAAGCAAAAUGCUUUCACAUUUUGGUAUCUUUUUGUCAUUCAAAACAUGUUCAAGCAAUGGAAAAUCAGACAUUAAAAGGGUUGCAACAUUUGUUUUAAUAUAUAUAUAUAUAUCUUACAGUUUCCACAACUUUCACUUGUACACAUUUCCAAUAUUUGUUAAUGCAUUUUUGUUGUUGUUUAUGUAUUCUUGUGUCAUGUUCCGUUGAAGCGUAUCAGUUUCGUGUCACUCAUUCAUAUCGUCGGUCAAGUCAAGUCACAGUACAAGAUGGGUUAUCAAAAAGCUAAAAAAAAUAAACAAAAAUAAAAAAUAAUAAAAAGUAAGAUAUUUGUUUUUAGAAAUAAAUACAUUGCGAAAGAUAAAAUGAGAGGAUCAAAGAGUAUACACCAAGACUGGUCAGUUAUGACAUGUGAAAAAUACUUUACAAACGUGUUUGCAUUGUAAACAAUUGUAGAACAGAGAGCAUUAUUUUGACAAAGCUGAGCACUAAAAGGUGUGGCUUGAGAUUUUCGGAGAUAUACACAUUUACAGGAUCUAGGACGGACGACAAGAAAAGUCCCAUUUAAAUGUUAUCUUUAUUCUUUUUUCAAAUCUUUGCCUAGGGGUAGGAGUUAUUCCUGACCAUAGGGCCUGACAGGGAAACACUAUAGCAAAUAACUACAACCCAGUAGGCCCUCCCAAAUGGCACCCUAUUCCCUAUAUAGUGCACUACUUUUGAUCCCCAAAUGGCACCCCAUUCCAUAUAUAGUGCACUACUUUUGACCAUGGCCAAUAGGAUUCUGGUCAAAAGUAGUGCACUAUAUAGGGCCCUCAAACUCAACGCUGGACCUCGAAGCCAGUUUCACUGCACUAUUUCAUUGUUCCCUUCUAAUAGGGACUGAUUUAGACCUGGGACACCAGGUGGGUGAUUCCCCUCUAACCAGGGACUGAUUUAGACCUGGGACACCAGAUGUGCGAUUCCCCUCUAAUCAGGGACUGAUUUAGACCUGGGACACCAGGUGGGUGAUUCCCCUCUAAUCAGGGCCUGAUUUAGACCUGGGACACCAGGUGGGUGAUUCCCCUCUAGUCAGGGCCUGAUUUAGACCUGGGACACCAGGUGGGUGAUUCCCCUCUAGUCAGGGACUGAUUUAGACCUGGGACACCAGAUGUGUGCAAUUAAUUAUCAAGUAGAAGAGAAAAUACCCCUGCUAUAGGGAAUAUUUCUGCCAUUUGGGACACAGUCAUUUUAGUAAAUAAACACUUUUAACACUUUCUUCUUAAAACUGGUUGAGGGCUUGAAAAGCAUUUCACUGUAAGAUCUACACCUGGUGUAUUGGACAAUGGUCUCAAAUAACAUUUGAUUUUCUCCUGGUCAAGGAAAAACCUCCUGUCCCUUCUACUAUUGCCAUAUGAAGCAUUUCAGCACUUUGCAGAAAUCAUUAGGCAUGUGUCGGAUUCAUUCAGCUCUGUUAAUUGCACUGAAGCGGGAGAAGGGAGGAAGGAAAGAAGGUUCUGUCCCAAAUGACAUGUCUAUUCCUUAUUUACUGCACUACUUUUCACCAGAGCCCCAUGGACCCCUGUUCUAAAAGUAGGAACGUUAGAUAGGAAAUAGGAUGCACUUUUGGGAGCAGUCUUAAAUGAAUCCCUGGGGAUGGUUGACUUUUAGAGAAGAUUCUAUUGCAGCUCUGAUUGGUUGGUUCAUUCUCAGCCAAGGAUGUAGCUUCUGAUUCAUUGUGCUAAAUCAAGAGAUAGCUGAAAGCUGUCUCUGGACAAGUGAUUGGUUGAUUGAGUGACUGGGUCUGGACAGCCAAUAAUAAUUAUAUACCCUCCAUAUCCAAGUCAAUGUACAUGCAAUGGCAAAGCACCACAAAGUCAACAAUUUUUUUUAAUUUUUUUUUUAAAGAAGAAACAAAAAAAGUCUUCUCCAUUUUGAAUUAGCUGGUGGCUGCUUGUGGGUAGAUGGGUCGUGCAUUAUGUAGCUGUUUGUGGGUAGAUGGGUCGUGCAUUAUGUAGCCGUUUGUGGGUAGAUGGGUCGUGCAUUAUGUGGCUGUUUGUGGGUAGAUGGGUCGUGCCAACGUGGAAGUUCAAGUUGAGCAGACCAUUCAGCAGGGCACAACAGUUUAGAACAGUAAGAUAGAAAUAUGCUAUGUAGAACAAACAUGCCUCUAAAAUGUAGAAUGAAUCACGUUGGCUCCUCUAUCUGCAACGUUUAGCUACUGAACGUGGCCCUGUAUUGGCCUGGGCUCGGAGCUUUUCCAGACCAUAUUACCCGACUAAGGAAAAACUCAGGGACCUACUAAUGUGCAAUGCAGUCUGUUCUCAGCCUAAAAUUACACUUGUUGGCUCUGCCUUUCUCUAAUCAAACCCAUGUGUGGACUGGCGGUCCUGCAGUUGCAUCAGCGUGAGGUCUGAACAGUGAAAACAACACAUUCAAAUGGAAGAACAUCAUUAUUCACUUUAGACGGAUCACCAUGAUAGAAUAAAAUACUUUUUUUUUUUUUUUUGACGAUUAAAUUAUUCCUCUGUUCUGACUCAAUCCCAGUUUUUUUUUUUUUUUUUUUUGUGCAAAAGCAGUAAAGAAUGCCACUUGUUUAGAGAAACCACGGCAAGUCAUGGAACUAGAAGAUAAGGAGAAAAAAAAAAACAUCAACAGUAUUUUGCACUACAAACGUGCACAUUCAAGAAAAGAAAAGAUUAUGAUCACCAACUCAAAAUAUGUUUAAUCAACCUCAAGUCUUUAGUUGGUCAGGAUUGGCACUUCAGUGAAUAGGAGUGCAUUUUCAUUUUUCACAAUUAGAAAUAUAUAUUUAAUCCACCGAUUUGUAUAAUAUCUUACUAUUCUGGUAGUCUUUGUUGAUAGACUGCACACAAAAGUACACCCGAAAAAACAAAACAAAAACAAAGACUACUAAUAUAUAAAUGCUUCUUCACAUGUUAGUGAUGUUUCAUUCUUUUCUGGAUUUAUUUCGUCUCAAAUGUCUGGUUUUUUUUUGGGGGGGGGGGGUCACUUGUUCUGUGGACAACCAUUUCCCUUUAGACAACCAUGGUGUACAGAAUCCUAAAAUAGCCUGUAGUCUAUGACCAUUACCCGCUGCUCUAUGUCAGAUCAAUGCCAAGCUUAGUCUCUUAACAAAUUUGAAUACAUUUUGCAUGUCAACCAAAGCACAACGUGUCCAAAACCACUGCAGACCACGAGUCACCGUCACUGCAAACCAUGAAUCAUCCUCAUCAUUGCAGACCAUGAAUCAUCCUCAUCAUUGCAGACCAUAAAUCAUCCUCAUCCUGAUUGCAGACCAUAAAUCAUCCUCAUCCUCAUUGCAGACCAUGAAUCAUCCUCCUCAUUGCAGACCAUGAAUCAUCCUCAUUAUUGCAGACCAUAAAUCAUCCUCAUUAUUGCAGACCAUAAAUCAUCCUCAUCAUUGCAGACCAUAAAUCAUCCUCAUCAUUGCAGACCAUAAAUCAUCCUCAUCAUUGCAGACCAUAAAUCAUCCUCAUCAUUGCAGACCAUAAAUCAUCCUCAUCAUUGCAGACCAUAAAUC
ensembl:lncRNA